rnacentral:rRNA from 1 species
UACAGAGGUCCCAAGCGUUGUUCGGAUUCACUGGGCGUAAAGGGUGCGUAGGUGGCCAGGUAAGUUCGGUGUGAAAGCUCGGAGCUUAACUCCGAAAUGUCAUUGAAUACUAUCUGGCUUGAGGGUCGGAGGGGAGACUGGAAUUCUCGGUGUAGCAGUGAAAUGCGCAGAUAUCAGGAGGAACACCGGUGGCGAAGGCGGGUCUCUGGGCCGAUACUGACGCUGAGGAGCGAAAGCGUGGGGAGCAAACAGG